GGCGGCAUGCCUUACACAUGCAAGUCGAACGGCAGCACGGGGGGUAACCCCUGGUGGCGAGUGGCGAACGGGUGAGUAAUAUAUCGGAACGUGCCCUGUAGCGGGGGAUAACCUAUCGAAAGAUGGACUAAUACCGCAUACGCUCUACGGAGGAAAGCGGGGGUCGCAAGACCUCGCACUAUAGGAGCGGCCGAUAUCGGAUUAGCUAGUUGGCGGGGUAAAAGCCCACCAAGGCGACGAUCCGUAGCUGGUCUGAGAGGAUGAUCAGCCACACUGGAACUGAGACACGGUCCAGACUCCUACGGGAGGCAGCAGUGGGGAAUUUUGGACAAUGGGCGCAAGCCCGAUCCAGCCAUGCCGCGUGAGUGAAGAAGGCCUUCGGGUUGUNAAGCUCUUUCGGCAGGAACGAAAUGGUUCGUGCUAAUACCACGGACUGAUGACGGUACCUGAAGAANAAGCACCGGCUAACUACGU
rnacentral:rRNA from 1 species